rnacentral:rRNA from 1 species
UACGUAGGGUGCAAGCGUUAAUCGGAAUUACUGGGCGUAAAGCGUGCGCAGGCGGUGAUGUAAGACAGAUGUGAAAUCCCCGGGCUCAACCUGGGAACUGCAUUUGUGACUGCAUCGCUGGAGUACGGCAGAGGGGGAUGGAAUUCCGCGUGUAGCAGUGAAAUGCGUAGAUAUGCGGAGGAACACCGAUGGCGAAGGCAAUCCCCUGGGCCUGUACUGACGCUCGAUGCACGAAAGCGU